rnacentral:lncRNA from 12 species
AUGCCUUGCCCGCGUCCUCUAUCCACCAAGCAACCCUUCCCGUUCCAAACGUCCGGACCUCCCCCACCUUCCGCGGCUCGGCUCCAAGCCCGCCCGCUGAGCCCGGAAAGGCAAUCGCUGCCCCGGGCCUCAGUUUCCCUGGCUGUAACAGGAAGUGACUCUGGGCCCCUCACCCGCGGAGCUGGGAGGCGGGGAGAGGUGCGGCCCGUGGAGGGGCCCCUGGGCCUCGAGACCCCGGCCACGUGUUGGCGGAGCCCCGGGGGGGCAUUUCGGCCCCCGGGGACCAGCCGAGGGCCCCCGAGACUGCGCGAGCUGGGGGAGGGGGGGGCAGGCGCGCGGCGAGGUGGGCGCAGCGUGGGUCGGGGGGAGGCGGGGUCCGGGGUCCCCCAGCCUCGGCUGCCGGCUCUGUGCCCCCGCCGCCCGAGAGCAACAGCGCGCGCUCACGGGGAGAAACCAGCAGAUACAACGCGGCGAAACGAAACAAAACCCCAAAGAUUGCGGCGGCCUGGGCUCCACCCCGGAGCCCCUUGGGGAACGCGGGCCCCGGGGCAGCGGGGUCCCCAUCCCGGGCGCCCUCGGGCGGGAGGCUCAGGGCGCCUGGGCGCUUCCCCCCGCGGUCUUCCCUCCGCAGCCGCUCCCGGCGAGGCGGGGGCGCAAUUAGUUUCUUCCAAUUAGUUUCCCCUCUUUGUAUAGAGACCCAUUCAAACUGUGGCUGUAAUCCUCCGCGCGAGGGGGAAAGUAGUCCCGACCUUGCGUUCGAUUUCUGUUCUCGCGUCGCGCAUAUUUUACUUUUCGAGGCCACCGGGACUCUCCGUGGGGCCCCUCGCGGAAUGUGGGGGCGGCGGCUGCGGGGGGCCCGCGCAGGUGAGGGGGUGGGGGCGGCCGCCGCGGGAGGGGGCGGGGAGGGCAGCUAACUCCCAGCUACUGCCUAGAGAGAUGGAUCAUGGGGCGUAGAGAGAUUGCAAACCUCAAACCACGUACAGCGGGCGAUACGCGUCAACCGAACCUGACCAACGGAAGCCCGGAGCCUGCCCCCUCCCCGCGCUCCCGCCCCCGGGCCCCGGACGGACAGGAGCGCCGAGCCAACCGCGCGGCCGCUCGCCGUCCGAAUCCCGCGGAAACCAAUGGGAGCGCGCGGGGGGCGGGGCCCGCCCGCGUCGGGUUGGGCUGCGCGCG